UUCAUUCACUGCAAAAGACCUCUUGCACAAUUGAACUAGUAUUAUUAAUAUUAUUAGGAAUAGUAUUAUUAUAACCUACAAUUUGUACCUUGUCAAUUCACUAAUAUUAUUGGUUAGUAAUAUAUCGUAUGAAAUGACCAAGAUCUCGUAACUUGUCGAAAAAGAUGAAACAGACAUUUGUAUAGACAGAAAUGAUAUUUCAGCUGGAAAUUUUCAAAGCAAAACUCUCUCUGUAUUCUCCCUUUCUCUGUCAAGAGCAUGGCGAGGCACGCCCGUGUCGUACGUGUACAUAUGCUCGCGAGCAGCCGUUAGCGGUUAAACACGAACGCGUCCUGUAUCAUGAUUCAUGAGGGAAUAUGAGCAGAACGUCAAUGAAUCGUAAUACAUAAUGACAUAUAGAAUCAACUAUGCUUUCAUAUCGAAACGUUCACAGAUUAACCUAAUCUCGAUAUAUCGCGCAUCGAAACAAUAGUUGCGAUAAUCUUACAGAUUGUACACCGUGCCUUACACUAUACCCUCGAAAGCAAGGUUAUCAUUGAAUACUCAUAGUCUUCUGUAUUCCUUCUUCUGUACCUCGAUCACACUAUUGUACAUCCAAAAUAACCGUUACUUUGCGCAUUGGCAAAGACCGAGCAGCAAGAAAUUCAUCGAUCUCCGAACCUGUACGAGCAAGAGAGAUCGCGGGGAACAAAAACGACGGCUUGGAAUGCGUGAAUGAAUUAUUUAUAGAGAACAGAAAGUAAGGAAGAUGACGAACCUGAGUGGCAUGAUUCUCAGUCCUAUGCAUACAAGCUUAGAUGCGCGUGAAUUCUUUUGUGAAAACGUACGGGAGAAAAUAGGUAACGGAAUUCGUAUCGUAGAUCGUAGUAAGAUGACAAGUUACUGUCAUACACCGCCGCACCGGUAGUCAUCGAAGAUUUCAUGAGAAAGGAAGCGAAGAAGCACAGCGAUGAGUAGACCCGGGGUUGGGUACGCAGAGAAAGGAGGGGAUAUACCAAAGGAGAGAAGAACGUCGCCCGCGGCUAGCAACCGCAAAGGCAAAACUCCCGUGAGUGGUUUGCCACCGUGAACUGGUUUUGGGGGGUAUCCUUGUUACGCGUUGGCGAAAACAACGGGUCAGCAUCCGAUGCACUUCGACGUGUAUACUAUUCGGUGUUGUCUUAUAUGAGUAUAUCAUAAAAGAACAAAAAAACGAUAAAGAUAGAUAGGUGGAGGAAGAAACAGUCUCAAG
rnacentral:lncRNA from 1 species